rnacentral:tRNA from 1 species
GCCAAUUUGGCUCAGUGAGUAGAGCAUCAGUCUGCAGACUGAAGGGUCCCGGGUUCAAUUCCAGCUAAGGGCA